ensembl:lncRNA
GCUGGUGCUACUUCACUGACGGCCGCACACACUGGGGGACCACUCACCUCAGUCUCAUCACCUUCCAGGGCCAGUGCCUCUUUCUUCAGAUCUUCGAACGUAAGACCCGGGGGCCGGCUAUGCUUUGACUAAGCCACACCCCUUCUCAACUUCCACCUCGAGGAGGUCCCCAAAGCCAACCCAAUGGCCAAACAACACGAGAACAAGUAAGUGAUAAAACAAUCUUUAUUUAAAUAUUUAAAAAUAGCUUGGGGAAUAGGGAAAGGGCAAUUAAAACUAAACUCUGACUCGGCCCUCCAGAUGGGCUAUGGCCGGGAAGAGGUCAGGGAGCAAGGGGGCCACGGGGAUCCGGGGCGUGGGACUCGGGCCCCGGCCUGAGUCUUAGGUAUCCGUAGCGCCCUCCUUCUUCCUCCUCUUCGCUGAAUACAGCUCACAGUAAGUACUGGUUCACACAGUUCGUUCUCUGGGUGCUCACUCUCUUUCUCUUUCUCCACAGGCAACGGCUGGGACACACAGGCACAGUUAGUUCAGCUUGGUUUUGCUCUCACCUCUUCGCUGAUUACAGCUCACAGUAAGUACUGGUUCACACAGUUCGUUCCUUGGG